rnacentral:lncRNA from 10 species
GUGAAGGCCUGUUGACUUCAGCAGUGAAGUUUCAUCAUCUCAGUUUUCUGAUUCCUACAUCACAGCUUUCUGUCACCAGGAAAAGGAGAACAAGAAGUCAAGUAUUCUUGAACUCAUUGUUUCAUUAGUGACUUCAGAGAUAGUGGCUUCCCUGUGGGCUGAACAGAGAUAACUUGUACAAGGUGGAACCAGAAGUAUGAAGAGCCUGGGCCCUUGAGUAAUCACACUGAGAAACAGUAUGACCAGGAACACCCCACUGAAAUCUGACCUACACCUGAAAUAUUUUUAUGUUAAACCAUUGAGAUUUCAAGUAUCUAUUAAAGCAGUUAUCAUUUACUUAAUUCACCGCAUAUCUACAGUAUCUCCCUGUCUUCUCUUUAGUAACUAAUGUUCCAGGUAUGUUGGGCAAAAGCAAUUGGCAUAUGGGGGUUAACCUAUACUCAAAUAAAGUAAUUACCCUCAGCUUCAAAAUGUCUGAUCCUUUAAUAUUCCCAUCAAAUCUAGUGCUGCUCAUUUCCACUGUUUCAAAUUUUAUUAUUUUUAUUAAUAUUUCUUAUUAUUCUUGGUUUAAAUUGUCAACACACUGUCUUUUCUAUGUAAUCACAUUUUAUGAGAAAGUAUGAUAAAUAUAUCCUCCAAAUUCACAUAACAAUUACCGAGAAAGUGAGGAAAAUUCAAGACCAAACCUGACGAUUAAUUUUUGCUGCUCAGAAUCAGAAUACAUCUUCACAUUGAGAUCUGAGAUUGGGUGGAUCUGACACUUUUUGGAUGAAAAAUUUAAAUUAAUUGUUAAGUCAUCUAAAACACUCAUUUCCAGUUGGACUUUAUAAUCUUACCUCUACAUAUGUAAAAUAAUAUAUCAACUGCUUGAGACAAAUCAUCUAUGAGCUGUUCUAAUCUAACAAUCUUAAAACCUUAUUUUAAAAAAAUUGUUGAAUUUGACUUUUCUUACCAAUUGGCAGUACUUAAGGUGAUACAUUCUCAUAAUACUUAUAAAUUAUUUAUUAAUGUGGUAGACAGCUCUGCCAGACAACUUUACUUUGUUUUACUAUCUCUAUGAUAUAGUUUUUUGCUGUUUUUAGUUAGAAAAGUAAAACAAGUAUUUGCAUCUUAUUUUCAACAACUAUCAAAUCCUCAAAGGAGCUAUUCUUCACUAUCCUAUCAUAUAUCAUGUCCUCACUUCAUUCCAUCUAUGUAUAUUAUUUUUAUGUCCUUGUAUUAAUUAAUUAUUUUAUAGCAUCUUUUAAAAUAUGAAAUAUUUUAAGUAUAUUUACUGGGGUUUUCUGAUCUGAAUCUCCAUUUACAAAUUAAGCUUCUAAAAAGCUGAGACUCUAGAUCUUUUUCUACUACUGUAUAAUCAAUAACUAGCAUAUGAGAUAUAGUAAGUACCGAUUAAUUAAAUGAAUUGUAGAUAUUGUUAUACAAAUUCUGCAUCUUUUCCACAUGCACCUGGGAGAUGAUUUUCUUGGCACUAAAUAAAG